AUGGAUUCGAGCAACACGGUGCGACAUCGUCGGGAUCGAGCCAAUCCCCUCCUCCGCAUCGCUGGCGCGCCACCGCGUCGAUCUACCCAUCUCCGAUCGUCCCCGGCACCCCCGAGCCUUCCCCGAGCAUCACAACCCCGAGACCGAUGCUGCCCCUGUGAUCGACUACGUCGACGACGACACUUCUUCCUUUCAGCAGAGCUUCCAGAUGGUGGAGCCCAGGAUCCAGACGACCCCACCGACGACUGCUACUACCCCGAGGGUGCCUACUACAACGUGGAGACCGCCGACGACCAGGAGUAG
rnacentral:rRNA from 1 species